UUUUGGACAAUGGGCGCAAGCCUGAUCCAGCAAUGCCGCGUGCAGGAAGAAGGCCUUCGGGUUGUAAACUGCUUUUGUACGGAACGAAACGGUCCUGGUUAAUACCUGGGGCUAAUGACGGUACCGUAAGAAUAAGCACCGGCUAACUACGUGGCAGCAGCCGCGGUAAUACGUAGGGUGCAAGCGUUAAUCGGAAUUACUGGGCGUAAAGCGUGCGCAGGCGGUUUUGUAAGACAGGCGUGAAAUCCCCGGGCUUAACCUGGGAAUGGCGCUUGUGACUGCAAAGCUGGAGUGCGGCAGAGGGGGAUGGAAUUCCGCGUGUAGCAGUGAAAUGCGUAGAUAUGCGGAGGAACACCGAGGCGAAGGCAAUCCCCUGACAUCACUACGUCAGCAGAAA
rnacentral:rRNA from 1 species